ensembl:snRNA U6 U6 spliceosomal RNA
GUGCUGGCUUCAGCAGCACACGUGCAAAAACUGGAACAAUACAGAGAAGAGUAGCAUGGCCCGGUGCAAGGAUGAUGCGCAGAUUCAUGAAGCAUUCCAUGUUUAA